rnacentral:misc_RNA from 1 species
UCCGACGAAUGUCGGCAGUCUCGUCUGAAAAUCCAACAGACGAUGAGGGUUUCGCUCGUUUACCCACUUAAGGGCACAGCUCACGCCACGAGCUGACGACAGCCGUGCAACACCUGUCUUAUGGCUCCCUUACGGGCACUCCACUGUUUCCAGCGGAUUCCAUAGAUGUCAAACCCUGGUAAGGUUCUCCGGUUAUCGUCGAAUUAAACCACAUGCUCCACCGCUUGUGCGAUCCCCCGUCAAUUCCUUUAUGUUUUAGUCUUGCGACCGUACUUCACAGGCGGCACACUUAACGCGUUAGCUUCGCUACAAGAAGGGUCGAUACUUCUGAUAGCUAGUGUGCAUCGUUUACGGCGUGGACUAC